rnacentral:rRNA from 1 species
CCUACGGGCGGCAGCAGUGGGGAAUAUUGGGCAAUGGAGGCAACUCUGACCCAGCAAUGCCGCGUGAGUGAUGAAGGUACUUUUAUUGUAAAGCUCUUUUCUUUGGAACGAAUAAAUGGCGGUACCAAAGGAAUAAGCACCGGCUAACUACGUGCCAGCAGCCGCGGUAAUACGUAGGGGGCAAGGGUGGUUCGGAAUGACGGGGGGUAAAGGGUGUGUAGGUGGUUUGAUAAGUGAGAUGUGUAAUACGCAGGUCUUAACUCCGGUGCUGCAUCUAAAACUGUUAGACUUGAGUGAUGGAGAGGAUAGUGGAAUUCCUGGUGUAGCGGUGAAAUGCGUAGAUAUUAGGAAGAACAUCGGUGGCGAAGGCGGCUAUCUGGACAGCAACUGACACUGAGGCACGAAAGCGUGGGGAGCAAACAGGAUUAGAUACCCGAGUAGUC